ACAAUGAUGAAAACAUGGCAUUGAUUUUUUUUAAAGGUGAUACUGCCUUUUGUCCUCUAAGAAGUUCUGAGUCU
rnacentral:snoRNA from 1 species